rnacentral:rRNA from 1 species
AGGGGGAUAACAUCCGGAAACGGAUGCUAAAACCGCAUAGGUCUUCGAGCUGCAUGGCUUGAAGAGGAAAAGAGGCGCAAGCUUCUGCUGAUGGAUGGACCCGCGGUGCAUUAGCUAGUUGGUGAGGUAACGGCUCACCAAGGCCGUGAUGCAUAGCCGACCUGAGAGGGUGAUCGGCCACAUUGGGACUGAGACACGGCCCAA